rnacentral:rRNA from 1 species
CAGGACGAACGCUGGCGGCGUGCCUAAUACAUGCAAGUCGAACGGUCUUUCUAUGGAAGCUUGCUCCACUGAGAAGAUAGUGGCGAACGGGUGAGUAACACGUGGGUAACCUGCCCAUAAGAGGGGGAGUAACAUCCGGAAACGGGUGCUAAUACCGCAUAGUUUUCUUGAUCGCGAUGAUCGGGAAAGGAAAGACGGCCUUUGUGACUGUCGCUUAUGGAUGGACCCGCGGCGUAUUAGUUAGUUGGUGAGGUAACGGCUCACCAAGACGAUGAUACGUAGCCGACCUGAGAGGGUGAUCGGCCACAUUGGGACUGAGACACGGCCCAAACUCCUACGGGAGGCAGCAGUAGGGAAUCUUCCGCAAUGGACGAAAGUCUGACGGAGCAACGCCGCGUGAGUGAAGAAAGGUUUUCGGAUCGUAAAACUCUGUUGUCAGAGAAGAACAAGUUGGAGAGUAACUGCUCCAGCCUUGACGGUAUCUGACCAGAAAGCCACGGCUAACUACGUGCCAGCCGCCGC